UAUCUCGCUUAUAUGACUUUUAUUAUUGUUGAAUACCUUGCAAGCAUUACUGCAAUAUUGCUCUCUCUUCCUUACAUUCUCAAAAUCCAAUCACUCACUGAUUAAUUCGCUGUUGUUGUGAUCUGCAUCAUAUCAUGGCUGAAGCACUUGUUGUUGGAGCUUUAGUUUCUGGCUUCGCCAACGUCAUUCUUGACAGGCUCAUUUCACGUGAGUUUGUCAACUUGGUGGUGGGCAAGAAGCUGGACCGGAAGUUGGUUGAGAGGCUGAGGACUGCUAUCUUGGCUGCCAAAGCUCUGGUUGCUGACGCUGAGCAGAAGCAGUUUGGAAACGAACUCGUGAGGGAGUGGCUUGAUAGUCUCAGGGAUGCUCUCUACACUGCGGAUGACUUGCUGGACCGUGUCUUCAUCAAAGCUCAAAUUCGCAACAAGGUACGCACUCGGCUUCCUCACUUCCUUGAUCUGUCUGGUAGGAAGUCUAAUAGGGAGAUGAUGACUAAGAUAGAAGAGGUGGUUGAAAGAAUAGUAGAUCUUGAGACUCACAAAGAUACCCUUGGUCUCAAAGAGAUUCCAACGGGUAGCUCCUCAUGGAGACCUCCAUCCACUUCUCUUGUCAAGGGGAAUUUGUUCGGCAGGGAUGCUGACCAACAGGCACUAAUCAAGAUGCUCAAUGACAACAGUCAUCAUAGCUUGUCUGUCAUCUCUAUUGUUGGUAUGGGUGGGGUUGGUAAAACUACUUUAGCACAAUGGCUCUACAACAAUAAGGAUUUGAUGUACGGGGUUGAUCUGAAAGUAUGGAUUUGUGUUUCUGAAAAUUUUGAUGUCGUUGAGACUACUAAGAAUGUUAUAAAGGGGAUCUCUUUAGGUGUCUGUAGCCUUGACAGUUUUGAUUUACUUCAACAAGAUUUGAAGAUAAAACUGUCAGAAAAGAAGUUCUUCAUUGUUUUGGACGAUGUUUGGAGUGAAGAUGCUGACAAAUGGAAUAGUUUUAUCACCCCUUUUCAACAUGGGAGAAAGGGAAGCACUAUUCUUCUAACUACCCGCAUGGUAAAUGUUGGUCGAAUAGUCCAACAUUAUAACUGUUACACCCUCAAUCAACUGUCAGAUGAUUAUUGUUGGUCUAUUUUCGCGGACAAUGCAUCCUUUCCUGAAUCAAAUGGGAGCUCAGAACUGGAAGGAAUAGGCAGAAGGAUUGUCGAGAGAUGUGAUGGCUUGCCGUUAGCUGCAGAAACACUUGGACGCUUGUUGCGCUCAGAGCGUCAUGUUGAAGAAUGGAAUAAAAUACUAUCGAGUGACAUUUGGGAAUUUUCUGUGGCAAAUUGCAAGAUUGUUCCUGCAUUGUUAUUAAGUUACCAUCAUCUACCUACUCAGUUAAAACGUUGCUUUGUUUAUUGUUCAUUGUAUCCCAAAGAUCAUAAACUUGAUAAAGAUGAAUUAAUCUUGCUGUGGAUGGCUGAAGAUCUUUUACAACCACCAAGGAGGGGACAGACUUUAGAAGAAGUUGGUUGCGAGUGUUUUGAUGACUUGGUUUCAAGACUAUUCUUCAAGCAAGUCAAGAAUGAUGAUGAGAAGUAUUUUGUGAUGCAUGAUCUCAUGCAUGACUUGGCAACUUUUCUUGCUGGAGAUCUUUAUUGUAGAUUCUCAGAAGAACUUGGUGAAAUGGAAGAGAUGAGUAUUCUAACACGUCAUUUGUCAUAUGGCGAUUCAAUCCCUGAAAAAACAUGCUCCUCUAAUAAAAUAGAAUCUUUGAGGACAUUACUAUAUACCAAUCAAGGAGCUGGUUUCUGGAAAGCACGCGCAACAUUACCAUGUGACAUAUUGUCAAAGAAUAAAUAUCUGAGAGUUUUAUCGUUUGAUAGACUCAAUACAUUUCCUGAUUCAAUAGCUAAAUUGAUCCAACUGCGCUAUUUGGAUCUUUCUUGGAGUGAUAUUGAGGUGUUGCCGCCGUCAUUAUGCAACAUGUGCAAUCUACAAACUUUGAAGUUAGAAGGCUGUUCAAAGCUGACUAUGCUGCCCAAUGGCAUGUAUAAUCUUGUGAAUUUGCGGCAUCUUAAUAUAACGGGUACUCCUCUGAAAGAAAUGCCAAAAGGAAUGGGCGAAUUAAAACAGUUGCACAUUUUAAGCAAGUUUGUGGUGGGAAAGCAAGAAGACAACAGAAUCCAAGAGUUAGGAGGGCUUUUAAAUCUUCAUGGUUCUCUUGAGCUUCAAAAAUUGGAGAAUGUGUUUGAUGUCAAUCAGGCAAGGAGUGCAAGGAUAAUAGAUAAGAAGCACAUUGAGUGCUUAUUCUUGGAAUGGUCUUCAGGUGAUGAUAUGGUUUCAAACAUACAUAAUGAUGAACAAGACAUACUCCAGGGCUUGCAACCGCACCGUGUCUUGAAAGUGUUAAAAAUCGAGGGAUACAAAGGUAAAAUAUUUGCAGAUUGGUUGGGGGGCUGUUCCUACAGCAAUAUGACACAUGUAUCUCUAGAGUCUUGCAGGAAUUGCUACAUGCUGCCUUCACUUGGACAGCUGCCAUCUCUAAAGUCCCUCCACAUUGAAAGGUUUGAUGAGCUGAAGAGCAUUGGCAAGGAGUUUUACAAGAAUGAAGGCCAUCAACAUUCUUUGCCUAUUGCACCGUUUCCCUCCUUGGAGACAUUGGAAUUUGAUGAGAUGUCAUGUUGGGAGGAGUGGCACUUACCUGACUCAGAAGCCUUUCCUCAGCUUAAGAGCCUUCAAAUAAGACAUUGUCGAAUGUUAAAGGGAGAUAUGCUUAAUCAGGUAUUGAUGAGAAUCGUUUCUUCCUCAUCGAAUGUUUCCAAAGUGCGACAACUGGAAAUACUAGAGGAUGGUGAAACAUGGGAUAAAAAGAUGAGACUUGACGGGGAUAUGUUAUCAAUUAGUGGAUUUGAAUGUGUGGUGGAGUGUGCAUUUAAGGAAAGGAUCAUGCACCAUCUAACUUCCCUCCAAGAACUACAUAUCUCAUUGUGUUUGUCUGUUGUAUCCUUGGGGGGAAAUUGUUUACCCAAAUCUUUGCAAAAGCUCACAAUGUAUAGGUGCAGGCAAAUUGAAUUACUCCAGCAACAAGACAAGUAUGAUUUGGUAGAUCUACAAAUAGAAUUCAGUUGUGAUUCACUGACCUCAUUGUCGUUGGAUGCCUUUCCCAAACUCAAGAAUCUGGAGAUAAGAGAAUGUAAGAAUCUGGAAUCAGUUUCAAUGUCAGAGCCACCACACGCUGCUCUUCAAUAUCUCAGCGUCACAAAUUGCGACAAGUGGGAGGCAUUGCCACGUGGCAUCCCAAAUUUAGAGUAUCUUGACAUACGAGGUUGCCCAAACAUUUGUAGGUUGCCAGAGGGAGGUUUGCCACCUAACCUGAAAGCGCUUAGGAUAGGAUUUUGCGAGCAACAACUGAGGGAUCUAUCAUGGUUGGGCAACUUGGACAACAUCACUUAUCUCACCAUCUCAGGCAACGGCUAUAAGAAGGGCAUACUAGAGUCAUUGAAGGUCGCUGCCUCGCCUUUCCCAGAGGAGGGUUGGCUGCCUCGCCUUCCCUCCCUUGCCUUUCUUCAGAUAAGCUGGUUUGAUAAUCUGCACACAUUGGAGUGCAGCGAGCUUCUCCACCUCACCUCCCUCCAGCAACUACACAUUGAGUACUGUUUGAACCUGAAGAUUAUGGAAGGAGAAAAGCUGCCUCCUUCUCUCUUACUACUUCGAAUUCAUGCCUGUCGUCUGUUGGGCGAACACUGCAAGAACAAGCAUCCACAAAUUUGGUCCAAAAUUUCCCACAUUCCCACCAUUCAAGUUGAUGGCAAGCAAAUUUUCUGAGCAGGUAGCUUGUGCACAUAUCGAGAUGUAAUCCUAUACAUUGGCUAUACAUCAUUUAAUUCUAAGUUCAUUUGAGGUGGUAAUUAAGCUGGAUUGAUGUAUUGGGAAACAGAAACUGUGUUUUUUCUGAUUUUGGCUUCAAGUUAUUGAAAAGCAAAGACAUGAUGGAGAAAGUUGGUGGCACUCAUUAUUGAAAAGCUUUGGUUGUUGUUGGAAGUACAUAUUGAAGUUUGGUAACCAUAUCUAAAUUAUCAUCAUUCAAUCCAAAGUUCAUCAGAAGAGGUGCUCUGUAAUUUUAGCUUCAGAAAAUAUUAGGUCGGGGCUUUGAGUGUUUGAUCGUUUGUGGAUUCUGCUCUGGAUGUCAAGCUUACUGGCUCCUCUUUUGAAAAUUAUUCACUAUAAAUCUGCAGUUGGGGAGUGGUUCAAUGGUAGUUUGGGCUGAAAUUUCAAUAGCAAGUUCUGGAUGUAUAUUUUUGUUCCGAAUGGUUGGUGGAUUAAGAUAAGAUUUGGAGGGUGAGAUAUGGCUUGCGUGCGCAAAGUAACUCUGGUUUUGUAAACUUUUCAUGUUUUUGGUUCACAUUUAUAUGCUAUGGUGCUUGAUUGUUUUGACUUAAUGUAAGCAUUUGAUUUGCUUACUUAUUUGAGAUUCUUUUGUAUCCUUAAUUAUUAUAGUAGUUUUUUGUUUGGGUCUG